CAAGGGUGGGGAUAUUUUCUUCUCUUUAUAAAGUGACUAAAUAACGAAGACGUUCCUAACAAACGACUGACAGAGUCAAAGUGAACUGUGUUAAAGGAGAUAAACGGACCAGCCGCACAGAAUGGCAGCUCUGAAGUUCAUACUUCUUUGUGCGUUUGUGUUGUUCUCCGUAGCAAUAAGCAGCCCGGUUCCAGAGCCAGGAGGCUUUGGCGGAAAACACGAACACUACAUCGUACACGUGCCUUACGAGGUGCACACGGUCCAUCACCACCACGUGAAGAAGGUGCCCGUAUACAUCAAGAGCCACUACCACCACCAUUACGACGGCUGGGACUGAGGAAUCUCCCUACAUAACAGUUGUUUGUUAUCUUCCUAACAUCGCCACAUUGCUGUCUGCUUUUCUUCGCCACUCACCUCAAUUCACCCAUUAUUUUUGUAUGAUUACCUUUGUCUGUUAUAAAUUAAUAAAAACUUAUUAAAAAUCUGA